rnacentral:rRNA from 1 species
AUUGAACGCUGGCGGCAGGCCUAACACAUGCAAGUCGAACGGUAACAGGAAACAGCUUGCUGUUUCGCUGACGAGUGGCGGACGGGUGAGUAAUGUCUGGGAAACUGCCUGAUGGAGGGGGAUAACUACUGGAAACGAUAGCUAAUACCGCAUAACGUCGCAAGACCAAAGAGGGGGACCCUCGGGCCUCUUGCCAUCGGAUGUGCCCAGAUGGGAUUAGCUUGUUGGUGGGGUAACGGCUCACCAAGGCGACGAUCCCUAGCUGGUCUGAGAGGAUGACCAGCCACACUGGAACUGAGACACGGUCCAGACUCCUACGGGAGGCAGCAGUGGGGAAUAUUGCACAAUGGGCGCAAGCCUGAUGCAGCCAUGCCGCGUGUAUGAAGAAGGCCUUCGGGUUGUAAAGUACUUUCAGCGGGGAGGAAGGGAGUAAAGUUAAUACCUUUGCUCAUUGACGUUACCCGCAGAAGAAGCACCGGCUAACUCCGUG